rnacentral:rRNA from 1 species
UACGAAGGGUGCAAGCGUUACUCGGAAUUACUGGGCGUAAAGCGUGCGUAGGUGGUGAGUUAAGUCUGUCGUGAAAGCCCCGGGCUCAACCUGGGAAUGGCGAUGGAUACUGGCUCGCUAGAGUGCGGUAGAGGAGAGUGGAAUUCCCGGUGUAGCAGUGAAAUGCGUAGAGAUCGGGAGGAACAUCAGUUGCGAAGGCGGCUCUCUGGACCGGUUCUGACGCUGAUGCGCGAAAGCUAGGGGAGCAAACAGG